AGUAGGGAAUAUUGCGCAAUGGGGGAAACCCUGACGCAGCAACGCCGCGUGGAGGAUGACACUUUUCGGAGCGUAAACUCCUUUUCUUAGGGAAGAAUUCUGACGGUACCUAAGGAAUAAGCACCGGCUAACUCCGUGCCAGCAGCCGCGGUAAUACGGAGGGUGCAAGCGUUACUCGGAAUCACUGGGCGUAAAGGGCGCGUAGGCGGAUUAUCAAGUCUCUUGUGAAAUCUAAUGGCUUAACCAUUAAACUGCUUGGGAAACUGAUAGUCUAGAGUGAGGGAGAGGCAGAUGGAAUUGGUGGUGUAGGGGUAAAAUCCGUAGAUAUCACCAAGAAUACCCAUUGCGAAGGCGAUCUGCUGGAACUCAACUGACGCUAAGGCGCGAAAGCGUGGGGAGCAAACAGGAUUAGAUACCCUGGUAGUCCACGCCCUAAACGAUGUACACUAGUUGUUGGGGUGCUAGUCAUCUCAGUAAUGCAGCUAACGCAUUAAGUGUACCGCCUGGGGAGUACGGUCGCAAGAUUAAAACUCAAAGGAAUAGACGGGGACCCGCACAAGCGGUGGAGCAUGUGGUUUAAUUCGAAGAUACGCGAAGAACCUUACCUGGGCUUGAUAUCCUAAGAACCUUUUAGAGAUAAGAGGGUGCUAGCUUGCUAGAACUUAGAGACAGGUGCUGCACGGCUGUCGUCAGCUCGUGUCGUGAGAUGUUGGGUUAAGUCCCGCAACGAGCGCAACCCACGUAUUUAGUUGCUAACGGUUCGGCCGAGCACUCUAAAUAGACUGCCUUCGUAAGGAGGAGGAAGGUGUGGACGACGUCAAGUCAUCAUGGCCCUUAUGCCCAGGGCGACACACGUGCUACAAUGGCAUAUACAAUGAGACGCAAUACCGCGAGGUGGAGCAAAUCUAUAAAAUAUGUCCCAGUUCGGAUUGUUCUCUGCAACUCGAGAGCAUGAAGCCGGAAUCGCUAGUAAUCGUAGAUCAGCCAUGCUACGGUGAAUACGUUCCCGGGUCUUGUACUCACCGCCCGUCACACCAUGGGAGUUGAUUUCACUCGAAGCCGGAAUACUAAACUAGUUACCGUCCACAGUGGAAUCAGCGACUGGGGUGAAGUCGUAACAAGGUAACCGUAGGAGAACCUGCGGUUGGAUCACCUCCUUUCUA
rnacentral:rRNA from 1 species